rnacentral:rRNA from 1 species
UUGGGCACUCUAAUGAGACUGCCGGUGACAAACCGGAGGAAGGUGGGGAUGACGUCAAGUCCUCAUGGCCCUUAUAGGUGGGGCUACACACGUCAUACAAUGGCCGGUACAGAGGGUAGCCAACCCGCGAGGGGGAGCCAAUCCCACAAAGCCGGUCGUAGUCCGGAUCGCAGUCUGCAACUCGACUGCGUGAAGUCGGAAUCGCUAGUAAUCGCGGAUCAGCAUGUCGCGGUGAAUACGUUCCCGGGUCUU